UACGUAGGGCGCAAGCGUUGUCCGGAAUUAUUGGGCGUAAAGAGCUCGUAGGCGGUCUGUUACGUCUGCUGUGAAAACCCGGGGCUUAACCCCGGGCUUGCAGUGGAUACGGGCAGGCUAGAGGCAGGUAGGGGAGAGUGGAAUUCCCGGUGUAGCGGUGAAAUGCGCAGAUAUCGGGAGGAACACCGGUGGCGAAGGCGUUUCUCUGGGCCUGACCUGACGCUGAGGAGCGAAAGCGUGGGGAGCGAACAGG
rnacentral:rRNA from 1 species